GAAUGAGGAAGGGCCCGACAGAGCCAAUCCUGUACAGGUGAUCGGCCUUUUCGUCCCUCCCCUCCAACCUCUGCCAGUCGCCAUCUUGGCGAGUGAUCGAAAGUGUCCAGACAGGCGGGCCAACUCUAGGUCAGGCUACGGAAGUGCCUCGGAACUCAUAGGCCCAAGGUGCCACUGUAUCAAGCAGCCCCAACAGGUAUGCACUGGUCAGAAGUGGACUGAAAUCAGCUUGGGGUCCCAGCUCCUCAGUCAUCAGGCACAGGCCUCAUUGCUUUGCAAAUCUGUUUCUGCAUUCUGUCAGGCCAGGACUCCUGGUUCACCUGUCAGCAUCCUUCUGUUGAUCCAUGCAAACUACCAUCCUUAUACACAAAGGAGAGAUUGCUGAAAAGCUGGUGCUCAAGCAAAUCAUAGAAAAGGAGGAAAACUUUUUGAGGCAGGGUCUCCAUUGGUAGUCUAGGCUGGCCUGGGACUCAUGUCAAUCUUCCUCCUUCAGCAUCCAUAGUGCAAGGACUGUAGGCAUGAGCCACUAUGUAUGGCUCAGUUGUGGGAAACUCUGAAUUGUUUUACAUCUUACACAUGGCACUUAAGUCACUGGCAGAGAUGGAAAGCACAGACACAUGUAGCUCACACAGGACUUUCCUGUUCCUCAUCUGUUUCCUUUAUAGUAUUAUGUGCUCACUCCAGAGCCCCUACAGUUGAGGAUGGUUUAACAGCAAAGUUAUUUGUUUUUAAACUUGUAAAUAA